rnacentral:rRNA from 1 species
AAUGAACGCUGGCGGCGCGCCUAAUACAUGCAAGUCGAGCGAGAAGACGUAGCAAUACGUUUGUAAAGCGGCGAACGGGUGAGGAAUACAUGGGUAACCUACCCUAGAGUGGGGAAUAACUAGCCGAAAGGUUAGCUAAUACCGCGUACGCUCCUUGGACUUCGGUUCAGGGAGGAAAGCGAUGCCGAGGGUAUCGCGCUCUUGGAUGGGCUCAUGUCCUAUCAGCUUGUUGGGAGGUAACGGCUCACCAAGGCUUCGACGGGUAGCUGGUCUGAGAGGACGAUCAGCCACACUGGCACUGCGACACGGGCCAGACUCCUACGGGAGCAGCAGUAAGGAAUAUUGCGCAAUGGGCGAAAGCCUGACGCAGCGACGCCGCGGUGGGGGA